CCUGGUCCAUGCUAUCUGCUCAAUAAACAUGUAUUAAGCAAUAGAGUUCCUUGACCACAACUCUCCCCCAUGGAAUGCAGCUAAAGAUCUACCGUCUUGGCCUGGUGGGGAUGACUGGGCCAUUAUGUGAUUAGAUUUCACUGCUUGCUCAGGAUACCCAAGUGAUGUGAGUUCCACAUCUAGAUCCAGGAAGGUCUCACUACGGAUUUAAGGAAUGAACUGGCCCGGAUCACUGAUCCUGGCAGCCAAACCUACUUAAUUGAUCUUCAUACUGAAUUAGAGUCAACGCAUCAUAGGCUACAAGACCAACCAUACUUCAUGCUUACUGGACCUGGCUAAAUGUGUUUUGUUUUGUUUUGUUUUUUGUAUAUAUUUUUUAAGAUUUUAUUAUUUAUUUACUUAUUUAUUUAUGUGUGUGAGAGAGAGAGAGUGAGCAUGAGCAGGGGGGAGGGGUAGAGGGAGAAGCAGACUCCCUGCUGAGCAGGGAGCCUGAUGCCAGCAUCAGGACUAAAUCCCAGGACCCUGAGAUCAUGACCUGAGUCGCAGGCAGAUGCUUAACUGACUGAGCCACCCACGUGCUCCUGGAUGUGGUUUGUUCUCAAUGGGCUACUGGAGCGGUUGGGGAAGAGGCACCUGCUUCCUUCUUUCAUCAUUAGGGGAAACCAUUAUGGGCCUACGGUGGCACAGAUGACUACUUUGUUCCAUUACUUCUUUCCCUAGAAAUGCCACAGCCUGCUGGUAAUGGAGGCUGCUGGCUUUCCCCAUCAACUCCUGCUCCUUCCCAGCUAUUGGUUUACCCCGGAAUGAACCAGAACUUCCGAAGCCUCCAUCUCUGGGGCACCUACAACCUUACUUAAGUACAAGAGACGGUAGAGUUAAGACUGACUUCUCAAUCAGACAGUUUAAGCAGCUCCACGUUUAGUGUCUGCCCCUGUGAUGCUCCCAUUGCUCAGAAAAGGAAUUGUCUGUGACUUUAAGGAAGAGGAGGCUCCUGUGCUUAUUUCUCACACUUCCCCAUCUUCAUUUGCAACAUUCUCUCUGCGACAUGAUUUUGAUAUCCACGCUGCAGCUUCACACACACACAGCUGUGGCCAGCUUUCUCUCCUGACCCCUGGAACCUCAGCUACCCGGUCCCAUCCUGCCAGCAGGAGGAAAAUCUGAAGCCGAGGCCUGGUUAGCAGGUGUCUAUAUAAUAGGAAUCUCACUCUUAUGAACGAGCCAUAGGAGCCAGUCAGGUGAACCAGUUCUCUGAGGGGAGCUGGUCAGAUGCUGUGAUAAUAGGCCAGACUCAAAGGGGCAGGUCUGUUUCAGCUCUAACAGACUAAUGUCAUUUGAGAAUAUGGACCCAGUGUGGCCAGAUUUUUCCAGAGUCCAGAAGUGACUGUGUAAACCCCAAACAAAAUAAAGAAACCAAAAAGCACA
rnacentral:lncRNA from 12 species